rnacentral:rRNA from 1 species
UACGAAGGGGGCUAGCGUUGCUCGGAAUCACUGGGCGUAAAGGGUGCGUAGGCGGGUCUUUAAGUCAGGGGUGAAAUCCUGGAGCUCAACUCCAGAACUGCCUUUGAUACUGAAGAUCUUGAGUUCGGAGAGGUGAGUGGAACUGCGAGUGUAGAGGUGAAAUUCGUAGAUAUUCGCAAGAACACCAGUGGCGAAGGCGGCUCACUGGCCCGGUACUGACGCUGAGGUGCGAAAGCGUGGGGAGCAAACAGG